CGAAUUUCAACUCUACUACACCCCGUCACAGGUAAUAUAGCAUAUCCCUUUAUUAUACUAUCAUUAUGAGGCAUAAUCAUAAAAAGCUCAAUCUGCUUACAACAAACAGACCUAAAAUCCCUCAUCGCUUACUCAUCAGUAAGCCAUAUAGUACUAGUAAUCAAAUCCCCUGAAGCUUUAUAGGAGCCACAGCACUAAUAAUUGCCCAUGUACUAACAUCUUCUAUACUAUUCUGUCUAGCAAAUACUAAUUACGAACGAAUUCAUAGUCGAACUAUAACACUAGUCCAAGGCUUACAAUCUAUUCUUCCCCUCAUAGCAACAUGAUGAGUUCUAGCUACACUGACUAAUCUAGCUCUUCCCCCUUCUAUUAAUUUAAUUGGGAAACUGUUCAUUAUCAUAGAGUCAUUCACCUGAUCAAACAUCACAAUUAUCUUAACUGG
rnacentral:lncRNA from 1 species